rnacentral:rRNA from 1 species
CAGUAGCCGCGGUAAUGCGAAGGGGGCUAGCGUUGCUCGGAAUGACUGGGCGUAAAGGGCGCGUAGGCGGCGAUCAAAGUCAGGCGUGAAAUUCCUGGGCUCAACCUGGGGGCUGCGCUUGAUACUUGGUUGCUUGAGUGGGGAAGAGGGUCGUGGAAUUCCCAGUGUAGAGGUGAAAUUCGUAGAUAUUGGGAAGAACACCGGUGGCUAAGGCGGCGACCUGGUCCUUGACUGACGCUGAGGCGCGAAAGCGUGGGGAGCAAACAGGAUUAGAGACCCCCGUAGUCCCUGUCUCUUAUAC